rnacentral:rRNA from 1 species
UACAUGGGGUGCAAACGUUGCUCGGAAUUAUUGGGCGUAAAGCGCGCGUAGGCGGUUACUCAAGUCGGAUGUGAAAGCCCUCGGCUUAACUGAGGAAGUGCACCCGAAACUGAGUAGCUAGAGUACUAAAGAGGGUCGCGGAAUUCCCGGUGUAGAGGUGAAAUUCGUAGAUAUCGGGAGGAACACCGGUGGCGAAGGCGGCGACCUGGGUAGAUACUGACGCUGAGGCGCGAAAGCGUGAGGAGCAAACAGG